ACUCCUACGGGAGGCAGCAGUAGGGAAUCUUCCACAAUGGACGAAAGUCUGAUGGAGCAACGCCGCGUGAGUGAAGAAGGGUUUCGGCUCGUAAAACUCUGUUGUUAAAGAAAGAACAUAUCUGAGAGUAACUGUUCAGGUAUUGACGGUAUUUAACCAGAAAGCCACGGCUAACUACGUGCCAGCAGCCGCGGUAAUACGUAGGUGGCAAGCGUUGUCCGGAUUUAUUGGGGCGUAAAGCGAGCGCAGGCGGUUUUUAAGUCUGAUGUGAAAGCCUUCGGCUCAACCGAAGAAGUGCAUCGGAAACUGGGAAACUUGAGUGCAGAAGAGGACAGUGGAACUCCAUGUGUAGCGGUGAAAUGCGUAGAUAUAUGGAAGAACACCAGUGGCGAAGGCGGCUGUCUGGUCUGUAACCGACGCUGAGGCUCGAAAGUAUGGGUAGCAAACAGGAUUAGAUACCCUGGUAGGAUAGCG
rnacentral:rRNA from 1 species